rnacentral:rRNA from 1 species
GACGAACGCUGGCGGCGUGCUUAACACAUGCAAGUCGAACGGAAAGGCCCUGCUUUUGUGUGGUGCUCGAGUGGCGAACGGGUGAGUAACACGUGAGUAACCUGCCCUUGACUUUGGGAUAACUUCAGGAAACUGGGGCUAAUACCUGAUAGGAGCUCCUGCUGCAUGGUGGGGGUUGGACAGUUUCGGCGGUUGGGGAUGGACUGGGGGCUUAUCAGCUUGUUGGUUGGGUAGCGGCUUACCAAGGCUUUGACGGGUAGCCGGCCUGAGAGGGUGACCGGCCACAUUGGGACUGAGAUACGGCCCAGACUCGUACGGGAGGCAGCAGGGGGGAAUAUUGCACAAUGGGCGGAAGCGUGAUGCAGCAACGCCGCGUGCGGGAUGACGGCCUUCGGGUUGUAAACCGCUUUAGGCUGUGACGAAGCGUGAGUGACGGUAAUGGGUAAAGAAGCACCGGCUAACUACGUG